GUUCAUGUAGCUUAAUAUAAAGCAAAGCACUGAAGAUGCUUAGAUGGAUCACUAAUCCCAUAGACA
rnacentral:tRNA from 1 species